AACGUAAACAACCUGCCUUCAGAGUGGGACAACAGACGGAAACGACUGCUAAUCCGAAUAAGUUCCAAGAGCCGCAUGGCCCAUGGAAGAAAAGGUGGCCUCUACCUGUAAGCUAUCGCCUGAAGAGGGGUUUGCGUCUGAUUAGCUGGUUGGAGGGGUAACGGCCCACCAAGGCGACGAUCAGUAGCCGGUCUGAGAGGAUGAACGGCCACACUGGAACUGAGACACGGUCCAG
rnacentral:rRNA from 1 species